ensembl:lncRNA
CCCUGGUCUAAAGUAGCACACUAUAUAGGGAAUAGGGUUCCAUAGGUCCCUGGUCUAAAGUAGCACACUAUAUAGGGAAUAGGGUUCCAUAGGUCCCUGGUCUAAAGUAGCACACUAUAUAGGGAAUAGGGUGCCGUUUGGAGCACAGGCUUAUUCUGUGGUGUGCUAGAAUGUAAAUGUGAUUUCUUGUGUAUUCAGGUGUUCUCUCUGGCCCCGUUUAUACCUGGUGGUUUGUUCUGAUCUCUCUGGCCCCGUUUAUACCCGGUGCUUUGUUCUGAUCUCUCUGGCCCCGUUUAUACCUGGUGGUUUGUUCUGAUCUCUCUGGCCCCGUUUAUACCUGGUGGUUUGUUCUGAUCUCUCUGGCCCCGUUUAUACCCGGUGCUUUGUUCUGAUCUGCUCUACAUUCUGAUUGUGCCCAUAUUUACAGAAAUAUGUCUACACAAAGUAUUAAAAGUGUCUGUUAUCCAUCCACUGUCUGCAUUGUGACCACAUUUCCUGGUCCCUUCAUUUAGGCAAAUUAUUUCAAAGCUAUCCGUUCAAAAUAAUAUUUAUUUAUUGACACAAAUGUAAUCAAUCAAUGGUGCAACAUGUCAACGAUUGUAGGGGCCUAGAAUAUUUAUGAUUUAAAUGUUUUUUCUGUCCAGAUCUGUCUACACUUGUACAAUAUCCAGACACAAUGUGUGUCUGACUACCUCUAGAGGUGAUCAGGAAGAUCUGAUCACAAUGUGUGUCUGACUACCUCUAGAGGUGAUCAGGAAGAUCUGAUCACAAUGUGUGUCUGACAACCUCUAGAGGUGAUCAGGACGAUCUGAUCACAAUGUGUCCUUUGUUUUGUCUACAUCGGUCCAAAAAAGAAAUGUGGACAAGAUCAGGACAAAGGACGCAUGUUAGAACCAGAUAUAAACAGGGCUUCCGUGAGAGGAAAGAGACGGGAUGCGUUUAGUGAAUUCACCCCUAGGGGGCAGCCUCUGCAUUGAGAAGUGAUAACCAUCCUAAGUUAAGAGACAUCACUUUGUCAAUCACAACAUUUCACUUGACCUCUUGUAUUUUAAAGAACAUCGUUUUCCAUUCCCGCUGUACCUUUUGUAGAAAUCUUAACGACUAAACAAAAACAACAACCAGACGUCAUGGUUUCUGCAGAACCAGUUCCUCCACAUUUCAGCCUGUCAUCCAGAACCUUCCAGCUGACCAGGAAACAACACAACUUUCCAGGUUGAAGCUCACUGGACGCAGUAACAAAAAUAAGAAGACUGUAUAAAAGGUUUUUAAAUGAGGAACAUAUGUUGGUUUAUUUCUCAGGACGUUUCACUAUGAAAAUACAGUGCCUUCAGAAAGUAUUCAUACCCCUUGACUUAUUCCAUGUUUUGUAACAGCCUGAAUUCCAAGUUGAUUUGAGGCUGGUGAGAGGGGAGGACGGCUCAUAAUAAUGUCUGGAAUGGAGCCAACGGAACGGUACCAAACACAUGUUAAUUACGUUGCAGCAUCACAAUGAGCCAUUAAAGUGCCAGCAGCAAUACCUGAGUAGAACAGAGCAGGGGGAGAGUAGCAGAGAUGCUGUACAGGUCUGUAGUUAGAGAUGCUGUAUAGUUGUGUAGGUAGAGAUGCUGUGUUGUUGUGUAGGUAGAGAUGCUGUAUAGGUCUGUAGGUAGAGAUGCUGUAUAGGUCUGUAGGUAGAGAUGCUGUAUAGGUCUGUAGGUAGAGAUGCUGUAUAGGUCUGUAGGUAGAGAUGCUGUAUAGGUCUAUAGGUAGAGAUGCUGUAUCGGUCUGUAGGUAGAGAUGCUGUAUAGGUCUGUAGGCAGAGAUGCUGUAUAGUUGUGUAGAUAGAGA